rnacentral:rRNA from 1 species
GAUGAACGCUGGCGGCGUGCCUAAUACAUGCAAGUCGAGCGAAUGGAUUAAGAGCUUGCUCUUAUGAAGUUAGCGGCGGACGGGUGAGUAACACGUGGGUAACCUGCCCAUAAGACUGGGAUAACUCCGGGAAACCGGGGCUAAUACCGGAUAAUAUUUUGAACUGCAUGGUUCAAAAUUGAAAGGCGGCUUCGGCUGUCACUUAUGGAUGGACCCGCGUCGCAUUAGCUAGUUGGUGAGGUAACGGCUCACCAAGGCAACGAUGCGUAGCCGACCUGAGAGGGUGAGCGGCCAGACUGGGACUGAGACACGGCCCAGACUCCUACGGGAGGCAGCAGUAGGGAAUCUUCCGCAAUGGACGAAAGUCUGACGGAGCAACGCCGCGUGAGUGAGGAAGGCUUUCGGGUCGUAAAACUCUGUUGUUAGGGAAGAACAAGUGCUAGUUGAAUAAGCUGGCACCUUGACGGUACCUAACCAGAAAGCCACGGCUAACUACGUGCCAGCCGCCGCGGUAA